AUUGAACGCUGGCGGCAGGCUUAACACAUGCAAGUCGAACGAUGACUCUCUAGCUUGCUAGAGAAGAUUAGUGGCGGACGGGUGAGUAACAUUUAGGAAUCUGCCUAGUAGUGGGGGAUAGCUCGGGGAAACUCGAAUUAAUACCGCAUACGACCUACGGGUGAAAGGGGGCGCAAGCUCUUGCUAUUAGAUGAGCCUAAAUCAGAUUAGCUAGUUGGUGGGGUAAAGGCCCACCAAGGCGACGAUCUGU
rnacentral:rRNA from 1 species